ACUCCUACGGGAGGCAGCAGUGGGGAAUAUUGGACAAUGGGGGCAACCCUGAUCCAGCAAUGCCGCGUGGAUGAAGAAGGUCUUCGGAUUGUAAAGUCCUUUCGACGGGGACGAUGAUGACGGUACCCGUAGAAGAAGCCCCGGCUAACUUCGUGCCAGCAGCCGCGGUAAUACGAAGGGGGCUAGCGUUGCUCGGAAUGACUGGGCGUAAAGGGCGCGUAGGCGGUUUGCUUAGUUAGGCGUGAAAUUCCCGGGCUCAACCUGGGAACUGCGUUUAAUACAGGCAGACUUGAGUUCGGAAGAGGGUCGUGGAAUUCCCAGUGUAGAGGUGAAAUUCGUAGAUAUUGGGAAGAACACCGGUGGCGAAGGCGGCGACCUGGUCCGAUACUGACGCUGAGGCGCGAAAGCGUGGGGAGCAAACAGGAUUAGAUACCCUGGUAGUCCACGCCGUAAACGAUGUGUGCUGGAUGUUGGGUGACCUAGUCACUCAGUGUCGU
rnacentral:rRNA from 1 species